rnacentral:lncRNA from 1 species
CUUUCUUCUCAUUCUUACAUAGCAAGGGUCUCGAAUUCGGCAGCUUUGAAGGCUUCAGGUAGCAUGUGCAGGUUUAUUGACCAGUUGUCUUCACCCAAAAAGUUCCCGCAGAU